rnacentral:rRNA from 1 species
AGUGUUCGAUAAGUCAUAACGACUCUCGGCAACGGAUAUCUCGGCUCUCGCAUCGAUGAAGAACGUAGCGAAAUGCGAUACGUGGUGUGAAUUGCAGGAUCCCGUGAACCAUCGAGUUUUUGAACGCAAGUUGCGCCCAAAGCCAUUCGGCCGAGGGCACGUC